rnacentral:rRNA from 1 species
UACGUAGGGGGCAAGCGUUUGUCCGGAUUUACUGGGCGUAAAGAGCGUGUAGGCGGCCAAACAGGUCCGUUGUGAAAACUGGAGGCUCAACUUCCAGACGUCGACGGAAACCGUGUGGCUAGAGUCCGGAAGAGGAGAGUGGAAUUCCUGGUGUAGCGGUGAAAUGCGCAGAUAUCAGGAAGAACACCAAUGGCGAAGGCAGCUCUCUGGGACGGUACUGACGCUGAGACGCGAAAGCGUGGGGAGCGAACAGG